UACAGAGGUGCCAAGCGUUAGGCGGAAUUACUGGGCGUAAAGGGCUCGUAGGUGGCCAACUAAGUCAGACGUGAAAUCCCUCGGCUUAACCGGGGAACUGCGUCUGAUACUGGAUGGCUAGAGAUUGGGAGAGGGAUGCGGAAUUCCAGGUGUAGCGGUGAAAUGCGUAGAUAUCUGGAGGAACACCGAUGGCGAAGGCAAUCCCCUGGGCCUGCACUGACGCUCAUGCACGAAAGCGUGGGGAGCAAACAGG
rnacentral:rRNA from 1 species